rnacentral:other from 1 species
GCAAUACAAGCCUGAACGGCUUGGUUUCUUUGAAAUCAAUUGGCUUUGUUGUUGCGAUGUUGUGUUUGCAAACUCGUAUUUCGAGUUAGGUAGAAUUUCUACCAUGGUUUUGUCUCAUCAAUCCCAGAGACGAAACGUAUACUUCCUGUAUUUUUUUGACCUGUCUGUCAAAUUUUUUAGCACCGCCUAUAGGCGGUGUUUUUUUAU